ACAUCGGUAGCACAGUGGUUAGUGCAGUCUGCCGCAAACAGAAAGACGCGGGUUGAAUUCCCGUCCGAUGUC
rfam:Nippostrongylus brasiliensis genome assembly, scaffold: NBR_scaffold0001995